rnacentral:rRNA from 1 species
GAUGAACGCUAGCGGCAGGCUUAACACAUGCAAGUCGAGGGGUAGAGGCUUUCGGGCCUUGAGACCGGCGCACGGGUGCGUAACGCGUAUGCAAUCUGCCUUGUACUGGGGGAUAGCCCAGAGAAAUUUGGAUUAAUACCCCAUAGUAUUUUCGGUUGGCAUCAACUGAUUAUUAAAGUUUUUCGGUACAAGAUGAGCAUGCGUCCCAUUAGCUAGUUGGUAUGGUAACGGCAUACCAAGGCUACGAUGGGUAGGGGUCCUGAGAGGGAGAUCCCCCACACUGGUACUGAGACACGGACCAGACUCCUACGGGAGGCAGCAGUGAGGAAUAUUGGUCAAUGGUCGCAAGACUGAACCAGCCAUGCCGCGUGCAGGAUGAAGCAUCUAUGGUGUGUAAACUGCUUUUGUACGGGAAGAAACACUGCUACGUGUAGCAGCUUGACGGUACCGUAAGAAUAAGAAUCGGCUAACUCCGUGCCAGCCGCCGCAGUAAAAC